rnacentral:lncRNA from 1 species
CUCAAUGAGAUCUUAUAGUGGAUGUUGGUGACAGUUAAUCCACUGUAAAAGUAGUGUGCACAUCAAGAUAGUAUAUAUCGAUCUUGAUAGAGAGGAGUAAUCUUAUGAGAUUUGAGAGGCUAAGUUCAAGAGUCUGUAGCUACAAUAGUGCGAUUGAUGAAAAAGAGUUUCUAUAAGGAUCACAAUUAGACAUGAGCUAAUCAAAUCUAUCAUAUAACUGAUGAUGAGGUUUGACGAUUUAUCUAUGACCUGCCAUCUAGUCAGGACUCACGAU